rnacentral:rRNA from 1 species
AGUGAACGCUGGCGGUAGGCCUAACACAUGCAAGUCGAACGGCAGCACAGUAAGAGCUUGCGCUGACGGGUGGCGAGUGGCGGGCGGGUGAGGAAUACAUCGGAAUCUACUUUUUCGUGGGGGAUAACGUAGGGAAACUUACGAUAAUACCGCAUACGACCUUCGGGUGAAAGCAGGGGAUCUUCGGACCUUGCGCGAUUGAAUGAGCCGAUGUCGGAUUAGCUAGUGGGCGGGGUAAAGGCCCAGCAAGGCGAGGAUCCGUAGCUGGUCUGAGAGGAUGGUCACCGACACUGGAAGUGAGACACGGUCAAGACUCCUACGGGACGGAGCAGUGGGGAACAGUGGACAAUGGGGGCAAACCUGAUCCAGCCAGCCUGCGUGGGAGAAGAAGGCCUUCGGGUUGUAAAGCCCUUUUGUUGGGAAAGAAAAGCAGCAGGUUAAUACCCCGCUGUUCUGACGGUACCCAAAGAAUAAGCACCGGCUAACUUCGUG